rnacentral:lncRNA from 1 species
AGCCAGACCAAUUACAAGAAAGUUCUGAUGACUGUUGUUGGGAUAAUUGCUUAAAGAUUCAGGUAAAGGAGCUAUUAUUUCUCAGAGGAUUCAGUGAGAUAACCUAUAGUAUGAAUUUGCAGAUGAUUGGAUCCAAAGUUCACCAGUUCUUUGAAAGACUAUCUUUCAGAGGUUUUUUUUUUUUCUUUUUUUCCCCAGAGUUUAAAAAUGCAAAAAGGAAUCUUUUACAGCCAUUCCUUCAAAUCCUAAAAUGUCUUUGCAUUUUGUGAAUAGGUAGUUUGUCAUACACAUUCAUUUGCUAGACAGGAGAGCUAGAGCUUUGUUGAAAGCUAAGUUAUUUUGCCAACUGGGUGCCUAACCACACUGCUCUGUGAAACAUUUCUCAAGCAGGGGUUAGUAACUCUAUCCUAACAUGUGUAUCUUGAAAUCUGAGGUGUAGAGGCUUUAAAAGCAGCCACUAACUUACGUCGAGUAGAGGUUACACAUUCAUUUAUUAAUCAUUACUUUUUUAAAUAUGAAAAAUCUUUUUUUUUUUGCAUUUCUUACUCAUUCAAGGAAACUCAUAAAAUAUUCUUACUUGAGGUUUACAAUAAAGCAAACACAAGAGAGUGAAAAACUUCCUAGGAAAUGGUAAUAUGAUUUAUUGAUUAUUCUUAAUUUGAUGUUAAGGGGAAACCAACAAUGUCUCAGAAAGACCAGCACAUCCUCAUGGACACCAACUUUCCCAUCACCCCUCCAGAGUAAUUGUGUCACACCUCCGCCUAGUGUAUGGAAAGAGAACUACCAUGCUUAUGGUGACUACCCCAGGGUUUCAGUCAAGGGGAGCAAAACAAAACUACUGCAUAUCAGGUGUCUUCUUGUCGUUUUUGUUGCUAAGUUCUUUACCGCUGAGCCACUAGGGGAGCCCUUAAGUCUAAUCUUUGUCUCAUCCCUAUUUCAUCUUUACAGGAAAUUGAAUCAAAUGAUAUUUCCCAUUGUUUGACUUCCCUUUAACCAGAUACAAUUUUUAAAACUAUGAGUGAGUGAAGUCGCUCAGUCGUGUCCGUCUCUUUGCGACCCCAUGGACUGUNNNNNNNNNNNNNNNNNNNNCAUGGGAUUCUCCAGGCAAGAAUACUGGAGUGGGUUGCCAUUUCCUCUCUUAAUUUGUAACACAAAUUCUAUUUUUCCUAAAAUUUUUUUUUUCUGUUUUCAAUAUCGUUUUGAAUAAUUUCUUUUUAACUAUUCUUAAAAUAUUGAGCUCAAUUUAAACAAAAAG